UGGAUUUGUUUUUAAAGAAACUGCAUACAUCAUCAGAGACAAACAAUAAUUUAAAUACCAUGCAGUUUCUGUAUGUACAAAACCUAGGCCAUAGAGAUCCAGUUUAACUUGUAUUCUAUUUACAUCGUCUUCCUCAUACAGCCGUCAUCUGUUGAAUUAGAACACGAGCGCGCGCUCCUAUACAAAGACAAACUAUGUACAGACACCCGGGGAGCAACUGGAAAAAGCAACCGGUUUGGGGAUUAACAGACAAAUGGGAAGAAAAAGCCAUUUCACUUAAGGUGACCUUCGCACACUGGCUGUGCACAGGGAGAGCGGACAUCCACUCGUCGAGCACACACCACGAUUUUCAUUCAGCAAAUAUACACGUUCGGAAGCGGGAGAAAAAGAAACUCAGAGGUUCUCACCACAACUACCGUCACACCGUUUGGUUUCUCUAAUCUGACAUAAAGGCUAAAGUUUUAAAGGUUUUCCAGGGCUUUGAGGGCCUUUGGGAGGAACACAGCAAUCUCGAAAGAGCACGCAGGCCGGUCGAUGGCACUGUUCUGUCGUAGACGGGCGGGGGAGGUCGGGGCAAGGUCUCCUUUUCAGAAGGAAACAUUUUGAUUUGAGGAGUUUCACACUUUUCCUUUCAUGAUAAGAGGCCCAAUUGGAAAUUUAUACACACAAACUAAACCUUUACUUGAAAACAGCAGCGUUUUCAGACAAAGAAAGCAUUGUAAACCAGCUAGGCCAUCUCUCUGACCCCCCACUUCUAAUUAAUGUCGAUUUGUCAUCUUGGGAAUUAACACACAUUUUCCAACUGUCAGAACAAUGUGGCAAAAAAGAAAUUUGGACGGAUUUCUACAGAUUUCCUCAAGAUUUCAGGAAGGGAAAGGGACAGCAGAGAGGCCAUGCUGUGGUCCACAGAAGUUGCUGAGCCACACACAGUGGGUUUGAAACCACCCACAUCUGGGGUGGGUGCUGUCACUGGCAUGGAAGGUGCAACCCUAAGUCCUGCAAGUGGAAGACGGUGCUCUGCAGGAGGAGAAGGGGGACGUGUUCGACUCCUUCCGUGCACAGUGGACUGCCCAGUAGAGCACUUGGGGAGAAACCUGGACUACUGGCUGGCAGGUGGGCUGCAGGGAAAUUGAUUUGGGCCUCAUGUCCCCAGGGAAUCAGAAAGACCCAAGAAGCAAGGCCAGCAGAGAAGCCACUGGCCUUGGUGGGAGGAGUCCAGGUCAUGGAAUGAGUUCCCCUAGGACUCGCUCCUGGGCCAGGGGAAGGCCUGCCCAUCCUGCCGGGCACUGCCAGUUGCCUGAAGCACAGCAGCCCAUUAGAGGAAGCUCAGACUCAGCUCUGGGCAAGGCAGGCAGCUCCGCCCAGAACAUGUGCCCGCUGCAGAGAAGUCAAACGAAAGAGCCCUACAUCUUUCGUCACACCAUCUGCACAUUCAGAUGUCAGGAAGCCUUUUGGGAAGAUAGUGCUGACAGCCACACAUUUCCCUUGAACAAUACUUCUACCCGCGUCAAGAACUAUUAAGAUUCAGCAAAGAAAAAAGGAUCUAGUGAUGGGCAGCGGCAUGUUCCAGGUGCUGUGAGGAAAGCACAGGACAGCUGUGCAGCGGCUGGUGGGCACUGCCUGAAGCACUGCCGCGCCCCCCGCACACGCACAGCCCUGGGUGGUGCUGGCCGCAGGCGCUGUGGAUGCCGGCAGAAGGUAAACGGCCUCCCUGGUGGGCGCGCAUCCCAGCAGUAACUCCCUUCCCACGCAGGUUGCAGGUCGGGGUGGGGACUGGUUAACUCUUUGCUGUGAAGGCCAAGCGGGCAUCCUUCUAACUCGUGGGCACGUGUGGUGGAGAGGGGACCAUCACCUGGAAAGACUGUGGUAACUGAGACCACAAUGACUGUGGGAGGCCAGGCAGAGCUUCGAGAUGGGGGCCUUACGAGCUCUGUCAGGAGGAAAAAAGGGGCUGCACGGGGCCUCACAAAAGAG